AUUGAACGCUGGCGGCAUGCUUUACACAUGCCAGUCGAACGGUAACAGGCCGCAAGGUGCUGACGAGUGGCGCACGGGUGAGUAAUGCAUCGGAACGUGCCCAGUCGUGGGGGAUAACUACUCGAAAGAGUAGCUAAUACCGCAUACGAUCUAUGGAUGAAAGCGGGGGACCGUAAGGCCUCGCGCGAUUGGAGCGGCCGAUGUCAGAUUAGGUAGUUGGUGGGGUAAAGGCUCACCAAGCCAACGAUCUGUAGCUGGUCUGAGAGGACAACCAGCCACACUGGGACUGAGACACGGCCCAGACUCCUACGGGAGGCAGCAGUGGGGAAUUUUGGACAAUGGGCGCAAGCCUGAUCCAGCAAUGCCGCGUGCAGGAAGAAGGCCUUCGGGUUGUAAACUGCUUUUGUACGGAACGAAACGGCUCUGGUUAAUACCCGGGGCUAAUGACAAUACCGUAAGAAUAAGCACCGGCUAACUACGUG
rnacentral:rRNA from 1 species